GUCUGUAUUUCCGCCGGCGCGAAACGAGCGUAGCUUCCUUGUCGUGUGGCCUCAGUCCUUCGCCGUCCCUCGCCGUCCUUCGCCAUCGCACGCCACCGCACCCCAUCUCUCGAAAUCUGCAGACAUCUUGAUUUUUCCCACGCUGUCUGUCAGGUCUCCGCCGCCACUCGACGCCAGGGCGCCGGGUGAGUCCACAGCAGGGCGCAUGGUCGGCUCCACUCUCACCAUCGGGGGAAACUGAGGCCCCGGGGAAGGCGGCCAGAGAGGUCAGGCCCUGUCCUUGGUGCAGUGUCUCGUCCUCUUUGCCGGAGUGAGCCCCCCAGGAUUCGCGUGUCCUCGGGAAAGACACUGGCAGGCCUUGUGGGCUGUGCUGCACCUCGGACGGCUUCGCACCAGCCAGCGCCCUCUCUCUCCUGCAGCACUCUGAUCUGCACCCCCUGAGGGGCUUCCACUGUCCGCGGGGUGAGAAUGCCCCUGGGAGUGUCACAUGACUGCCGCCCCAUGUGUGUGAGAGGCGUCCUCUGGGAGAGCAUGGAUCCUGAGGUCCCAGGAUUGUCAGCUGACCUCUGUCCUGUGUGCCCAGUGGCCCCAGGUGACGUGUCUUCAAGAAGAGGCUGAGCUGCGGUGCUUGUAAGGGUCUCAUUCUGUCACCCAGGCUGGAGUGCAGUGGUGCAAUGAUGGCUCACUGCAGCCUCGACCUGGGCUCAAGUGAUCCUCCACCUCAGCUUCCUGAGUAGCUGGGACCACAGGUCUCAGCCUUAGAUCCAAGGACAGUCCAAGGAAGUCCUAAGACCAUGGAGUUGGUGAUCUGGGAUCUGGGUUUGCUGAUAUUUCUCACCGUGAAUCUCUUGGUGGUGUUUGUGGGCACGAGAGGGGCAGAGAAUGGAGAGUGAGGCUACCACAUGAAGCGUCACCAGAGCUGCUCCCUGCUGCCUGCUCAGAGCACCCCGGAUCCACUGUUCAAUCUGCACAAGAUUCGGGGUCCAGACAUGGGAGACUUCAGCUGCCUCAGAGGACCGUGGACAGGGAAGGCCAGCCUCGCAUCCCUCUGUCCAUGCCUGGAAUGACUUUAAUAACCAAGAGUUUUAUUUUUGAAUUUGUAGCUGUCGUUCACUUUUUACCCACCCAUUCAAUAAACCUUACAGAAUUGCUC
rnacentral:lncRNA from 10 species